rnacentral:lncRNA from 1 species
GCUGACUCUCUUUUUGGAUUUAGCCAGCCUGCACCCAGGUGAUUGAAAGCCUUAUUGCUCACACAAAGCCUGUUUGGUGGUCUCUUCACAUCGACGCUCAUGAAAUUUGGUGCCAAAACCGGGGAUUGGGGGACCUCCCUUAGGAGAUCAAUCCCUUAUCCUUCCUCCUGCUCUUUGCUCCAUGAGAAAGAUCCACCUAUGACCUCUGGUCCUCAGACCCACCAGCCCAAGGAACAUCUCACCAAUUUCAAAUCCGUCCUGAGGAAGAUUGACAUUUGCCACACCUGCAUAAAGAACCCACUUGGUGAAAACCCAAGUUUUCUUGGAGUCUGCUGCUGUGAGACACGAGGAAAAAACAGUACAUGUGUACACGGUAGAUCUGGAAGGGAAAGCAGAAAGUAUCCAACACUUCUUGCAUGAAGAAAACAAAAUAAUUGGAGUCUAUUCCUCUCCACCUCGCAUCUGGGAUGUAACUUGAUGGACAAAUGGAAUGGGUGAAAGUGACAUCCUGGUACUCCUAAGGCUGGAUUAGAAGAAUCCUUUCAUCUUUCUCCUGGACCUACUGGAGUAUUUUCUCUAGGAAAAGCAAAUUAAUGUAUAAGAAGUCCAACUACCCUGAAACUGCCAUGUGAUGAGACAUACAAGCUAUAGGACAAACCAGGAAUAUUAAGACACUGUGUGGAAAGAAAGAAAAGUCAAAGAGAAUUGAGGCACUAGAUAUUUGAAUGAAAUGAUCAUUUUGGAUUUGGUGUCUCCAGCUCCACGUGUUCAGCUGAUACCACCAUGGAUCAGAAACAAGCCACUCAGUCAAGAUUUUACAGAAUUCCUGAUGCACAUAUCAUAAGAAAAAUUGUUUUUCAAAAAUAGGUGUUUUGAGCCUCAAAAUGUUGGGGCAGUAUGUUACACCAAAAUAAAUAAGUGAAACCAUUUUUAAUACCACUCAGAAGAGAGGGAGAAUUUAUUUCACAUUAAAUUAUGCAACAUAUGCCAACUAUACUGGAAUUUUGGCACAUAUUUAACAGGAUAUUCUGAUUUAAAGGCUAAACUACAAAGAAACUUAUGACCAAAAGAGUUUGACUGUUGGAUCAAAGAACACAUUAGGGACUCAGAUAUUGCUUUGACAUAUAUUUGUAUCUUGUUGUCUUGUUUUCUUGCAUCGUUUAGGUAUAAUAAUCAUAAAACAGGCCCAUUGCCCUGUACUGACUCCACUAAUGUUUUAUUUAUGGUAUCAAGGCCUUUUCCUUGCCUUUUAGCUGGGCUCUACAGGGAUAUCUCAAUGAAUUUUUAAUAUUCAUUUUUACCCUUUUUUAAAGCAGAGCUACAAGUGAGUCUCACAGAGGGUUAUGCUGAGCAACGAGGUGUUUGUCAGGCUGCCACAUGAGUCAUUUUUUUCCAAUGACAAAGCAGGUGGCUGCCCUGGAGGGGAACAUAAAAGGUAUCUCAGUAAUCAUGUCCUACUUGAGUUGCCUACACAUUGCUGACUCAACAGCUGCCUCUAUCCAGAAGAAAACAAGGCAGGAGAUAAAAUAUAAACUAAAAACAACCGAUCAAAAGAAAAAA